UGGGGCAGCCCAGCCCCAGCCUGGACCUCAGGAGGGCUGUGUCCACCAUGGCCUGGGCCCCUCUUCUCUUCCUGCUCUUCUCCCACUUCUCAGGGUCCUGGGCCCAGUCUGGGCUGACUCAGCCACCCUCAGUGUCUGAGGCCCUGGGCCAGAGCGUCACCCUCUCCUGCACUGGAAGCAGUAACAACAUCGGGAAAGACUAUGGUGUGCAGUGGUACCAAAAGCUCCCAGGGACAGCCCCCAGACUCCUCAUCUAUAGUAAUAGCAUUCGACCCUCAGGGAGCCUUCACCGAUUCUCUGGUUCCAAGUCUGGAACCUCAGCCUCCUUGACUAUCUCAGGGCUCCAGGCUGAGGAUGAGGCUGACUAUUACUGUCAGUCCUGGGACAGUGACCUCAGAGCUCACACAGUGCUCCAAGCCAGAGGGGAAGUGAGACAAGAACCUGCUAUCUUCAACCCUGGGGCUUCUCUGCUCAGCACCCACCAGGACCAAGUCAGAGUUCCUUUGUUUGUUUGGUCUAAAAUCUAG